rnacentral:lncRNA from 1 species
GUCAAAAGAUAGAUGGUGGAUAAGUUAGAGGAUAGAUCUAUUAUAGCUCAUUUUAUAGGGUAUCCUAAAGAAUCCAUGGGAUACUACUUCUACUUUCCACAAGGCCACAAUAUAAUUGUGAGUCAAAAUGCCAUAUUCCUAGAAAAAUAGUUUAUCCAGGAUGGUAGCAAUGGGAGGUUAGUUGAGCUCGAAGAGGUCUCCGAA